rnacentral:rRNA from 1 species
GUUAUAUGGUCAAGCGAAUAAGCGCACACGGUGGAUGCCUUGGCGGUCAGAGGCGAUGAAGGACGUGGCAGCCUGCGAAAAGUAUCGGGGAGCUGGCAACAAGCUUUGAUCCGGUAAUGUCCGAAUGGGGAAACCCACCCGCUUGCGGGUAUCCUGCAGUGAAUACAUAGCUGCUGGAAGCGAACCUGGUGAACUGAAAUAUCUAAGUAACCAGAGGAAAAGAAAUCAACCGAGAUUCCGUAAGUAGCGACGAGCGAACGCGGACUAGCCCUUAAGCUGGAUUGGUUCUAGGAAAACGCUCUGGAAAGAGCGGCCAUAGAAGGUGAUAGCCCUGUAUCUGAAAGGGCCAUUCCAGUGAAGACGAGUAGGGCGGGGCACGUGAAACCCUGUCUGAACAUGGGGGGACCAUCCUCCAAGGCUAAAUACUACUGACCGACCGAUAGUGAACCAGUACCGUGAGGGAAAGGCGAAAAGAACCCCGGAGAGGGGAGUGAAAUAGAACCUGAAACCGUGUGCGUACAAGCAGUAGGAGCUCCGCAAGGAGUGACUGCGUACCUUUUGUAUAAUGGGUCAGCGACUUACUGUUCGUGGCAAGCUUAACCGUAUAGGGGAGGCGAAGGGAAACCGAGUCUGAUAAGGGCGCAUAGUCGCGGGCAGUAGACCCGAAACCGGGUGAUCUAGUCAUGCCCAGGGUGAAGGUGCGGUAACACGCACUGGAGGCCCGAACCCACUCCCGUUGCAAAGGUAGGGGAUGAGGUGUGAUUAGGAGUGAAAAGCUAAUCGAACCCGGAGAUAGCUGGUUCUCCUCGAAAGCUAUUUAGGUAGCGCCUCAUAUGUAUCCUCUCGGGGGUAGAGCACUGUUAUGGCUAGGGGGUCAUCGCGACUUACCAAACCAUUGCAAACUCCGAAUACCGAGACGGACUGUAUGGGAGACACACGGCGGGUGCUAACGUCCGUCGUGAAAAGGGAAACAACCCAGACCCACAGCUAAGGUCCCAAAUUUUGUGCUAAGUGGAAAACCAUGUGGAAAGGCACAGACAGCCAGGAGGUUGGCUUAGAAGCAGCCACCCUUUAAAGAAAGCGUAAUAGCUCACUGGUCGAGUCGGUCUGCGGGGAAGAUUUAACGGGGCUAAGCACAGAACCGAAGCUUGGGGUGCAUAACUUUGUUAUGCGCGGUAGAGGAGCGUUCCGUAAGCCGUUGAAGGUGGAUUGAGAAGUCUGCUGGAGGUAUCGGAAGUGCGAAUGCUGACAUGAGUAACGAUAAUGCGGGUGAAAAACCCGCACGCCGAAAGCCCAAGGUUUCCUUGCGCAACGUUAAUCGGCGCAGGGUGAGUCGGCCCUAAGGCGAGGACGAAAGUCGUAGUCGAUGGGAAGCAGGUUAAUAUUCCUGCACCUCGCGUAAGUGCGAUGGAGGGACGGAGAAGGUUAGGUGUACCAGGCGUUGGUUGUCCUGGGGAAAGGCGGUAGGUUUGGAUCUUUGGCAAAUCCGGGAUCCUUUAAGACCGAGCACCGAGACGAGCCUUUAUGGCAAAGUCACUGAUACCACGCUUCCAGGAAAAGCUCCUAAGCUUCAGCUUACGCAGACCGUACCGUAAACCGACACAGGUGGGUAGGAUGAGAAUUCUCAGGCGCUUGAGAGAACUCGGGUGAAGGAACUAGGCAACAUGGCACCGUAACUUCGGGAGAAGGUGCACCCUUUUUGGUGGCUCGUGCGAGCUAUAGCUGAAGAGGGUCGCAGUAACCAGGCCGCUGCGACUGUUUAUCAAAAACACAGCACUCUGCAAACACGAAAGUGGACGUAUAGGGUGUGACGCCUGCCCGGUGCUGGAAGGUUAAUUGAUGGGGUCAGCCGCAAGGCGAAGCUCUUGAUCGAAGCCCCAGUAAACGGCGGCCGUAACUAUAACGGUCCUAAGGUAGCGAAAUUCCUUGUCGGGUAAGUUCCGACCUGCACGAAUGGCGUAACGACAGCGGCGCUGUCUCCACCCGAGACUCAGUGAAAUUGAAAUCGCUGUGAAGAUGCAGCGUUCCCGUGGCAAGACGGAAAGACCCCGUGAACCUUUACUAUAGCUUUACACUGAACGUUGAGUUCGUCUGUGUAGGAUAGGUGGGAGGCUAUGAAACCAUGGCGCUAGCUGUGGCGGAGCCAUCCUUGAAAUACCACCCUGUCGUGCUUGACGUUCUAACCUGGGCCCAUUAUCUGGGUCGGGGACCGUGUAUGGUGGGUAGUUUGACUGGGGCGGUCUCCUCCUAAAGAGUAACGGAGGAGCUCGAAGGUACGCUCAGCGCGGUCGGACAUCGCGCACUGUGUGCAAAGGCAUAAGCGUGCUUGACUGCAAGAUCGACGGAUCAAGCAGGUAGGAAACUAGGACUUAGUGAUCCGGUGGUUCUGUAUGGAAGGGCCAUCGCUCAACGGAUAAAAGGUACUCCGGGGAUAACAGGCUGAUACCGCCCAAGAGUUCAUAUCGACGGCGGUGUUUGGCACCUCGAUGUCGGCUCAUCACAUCCUGGGGCUGUAGUCGGUCCCAAGGGUAUGGCUGUUCGCCAUUUAAAGUGGUACGCGAGCUGGGUUCAGAACGUCGUGAGACAGUUCGGUCCCUAUCUGCCAUGGGCGUUGGAGAUUUGAGAGGGGCUGCUCCUAGUACGAGAGGACCGGAGUGGACGAACCUCUGGUGUUCCGGUUGUCACGCCAGUGGCAUUGCCGGGUAGCUAUGUUCGGAAGCGAUAACCGCUGAAAGCAUCUAAGCGGGAAGCGCGCCUCAAGAUGAGAUCUCCCGGGGCACAAGCCCCCUGAAGGAACCAUGUAGACUACGUGGUUGAUAGGUCAGGUGUGUAAGUACAGCAAUGUAUUGAGCUAACUGAUACUAAUGAUCCGUGCGGCUUGACCAUAUAACCU